rnacentral:rRNA from 1 species
CCUACGGGUGGCAGCAGUGAGGAAUAUUGGUCAAUGGGCGGGAGCCUGAACCAGCCAAGUCGCGUGAGGGAUGAAGGCCCUAUGGGUUGUAAACUCCUUUUGCCGGGGAGCAAAGUGCCGCACGUGUGCGGUUUGGAGAGUACCCGGAGAAAAAGCAUAGGCUAACUCCGUGCCAGCAGCCGCGGUAAUAGGGGGGAUGCGAGCGUUAUCCGGAUUGAUUGGGUUUAAGGGGGGCGUAGGCGGACGCUUAAGUAAGCGGUAAAAUUGCGGGGCGCAACCUCGUCGGGCCGUUGAAACUGGGUGCCUUGAGUGGGCGAGAGGUACGCGGAAUGCGGGGUGUAGCGGUGAAAUGCAUAGAUA